CAUGGUUGGAAAUCACUUGCCUUACCAAGUGUUGGCCCAGGUGACUCUAAGGUGUUUUAAGUUAACUAAAAACAUAGAAAUCACUAACGGGUUACACUUUCUCUUCAUUAAAAACUAAAACAACAAAACUUCCCAAUUAUGCAUGUGGAAACUUACCCGGCUUUCCUCACUCCAAGAGACAAAAAGCUUAGCCUCUCAUCCUCUGUGGAAAAAUCCUCAGAGUUUGGUUGGCUAGAAAAUGAAAAUGAAAGAGAAGACAAGAAUAUAUAUCAAAAACAGAGCAAGUGCUCUGUUCGUUGAUUCUAUAUAUUGGAUUACAUAUAUGAUCCUCCUCUUUUACAGUGGAUGCAAGGGAAUAUAUAUAGAGGAGUUUUUCCAACCUUCCCAACUAAGAAAUCUUAUGGUUGGUGGAUUACAAGGAGAAGAAUGGAAAUUUAUACAAAAAUAUCUGAAGAAAAAUAUCCAAAAGAGUCGGUGCACAAAUAUCAAGAAGCACUAAGGACAUUUCGCAGGUGAAAAUGGUGUCUGCGAGAUUUCGCAGACACUCAAGAGGGCUGCGAAAUAUUUUCGCAACAACAAGUUAAACUCGCAGGGCUGCGAAAUUGGCUUCCACCUUGAGGUUCUCAGCGUUCCAGCUUGCGGCAUGUAUCGGGUAGCUUCAGGAGGAAUUCCAUAGCACUGUACAAAAAGGCUGCGAAAUUCUCGCAACAAAAGGCUGAUUUCGCAACACUUUGGAGUGAUCUGCUUGCAAUGGCUGUAACUCCUUCGUUUCAACUCCGAAUCGUGCACCGUUUGAAGCAUUCGAUUCUUGACUUCCUGAGCUUUGAAAUGGUAUAUAGAAUGUAGAAAAUGGACUUCGGAAAGUGCUCCAAAAGUGCGCAAGAAGACUGCAGCUAGCUUUCCUCUGUUUUCUUCACUAUGUUUUUCCUCUCUCCUUGCUUCUCUCCUUGCAUACUUUGAACGACUUUGGCAAAGGGCUAUGGAGCUCCAAAGCUUGGUUCUUCUUGAAUUUGAGCUCUUCAUUGCUUUGCCAUGGAUUCCAAAUAACUCUCCUCAAUCUUGGAUUGUUUUGGUGAUCAAAUUACUAACAAAAACACCAAAACUUACACAAUUUGAUUAGAAAUGAUUGCAAGGGUCCUUAACAUGUUAAUUGGGUUAAAAGGCAAUAACUACUACUCAAAAGUGUUUAAAAGGAUUAAUUACAAGCUACAAAAUAGCACUUUUUGAGUAGUAAUCACUCCCCCCAACCGACAUAUUGCUAGUCCCUUAGCAAUGGAGGAGAUAAAAACUAAGUAAACUAUAAUAAUAUACAUAAAAGGGAUCAUGCAAAUCACUCCAAAAAAUGAUAUGAGUGGCAUGAUGGACAUCCAUGGAUCAAUAAAGAUGUAAAACUCAACCUAUAAUUAGAGUUGUCAAAGCAUUCACUUGAUCAUAGAGUACAAAGAAUGGAUAUUAUGCAAGUUUAAGCAUCAAAAGAAUUUCCACUCUCAAAAGAUCCAAAUCACAUUCUUCCACUAAAAGCUAAGUGUUAAUGUGAUUAGCUUCCAAGUAUAGUAUGGAUAACUAUCAUCUCCCCCCAACCUAAGUCUUUCUUUAAGCUUAGCAAAAUUAACCAUCUCUUGAUAGGCUAGGAACGCACCUCUUAUUCACAAUUCUUUUCACUUACUAAACUUAACCAAUUCACCCAUGUAACAAGCAGAGGAUCGGUGACUCCCAACCAAUAAAGGCUUAGGGCACCAGGCUUUAAAGGCUUUCGCCACCCCUUCGGACCAUGCUCAGGUUUCAAGGCAAGUAAAGAAGUUUAUUCUAUUUUUUUUUUCUUUUUCUUUUUCUUUUUCUUUUUCUUUUUCUACAAAGACUCAUUGGUCUUUAUGAGGUGUCCCAACACUAUUAAAGAGAGGUUAAAGGUGUCAAAUUAUGAUUUCUCAAGCUUAGAGGGUGAGAUAGUUUCACAUCUUAUAACCGGAAUCUAAUGUAUGUGUGUGCGAAUAGCUUAAGGUGGAAGAGAUAAGUUUGCAUGCAAUGGAGUUUCAACAAUUCAUCAACUUUUAAAAGAGCAUAAUACAAACUCUAAGACUCCUGUAAUCAAGUUGAAACUCGACUUCUCUCAUUUAAUUUUUGAGAGUUAAUCCUUAAUAUCCAUGGAGUUUAAAGCAAAAAUUUUAAAAUUUAAGCAAAAAGCAACUAAAUUACCAAAAUAACUUAGCAUUAUUAACAAUACUUACUUCCUCAACUCUCCCCCCAACCAAGCUGAACAUUGUCCUCAAUGUGACAAAAGCGAUUAAAAAAUAGGGAGGAAGUGGUACCUCCUGAGUGACAUGGAGUUUGAGUCGUGUAGGAGAAACCACAUGUUUCAAAGAAAACAUAAGAGUUAGUGAGUAGAGGAAAUAGAAAAAUGUUAAGUUUAAACAAAAAAAAUGAUGUCUAUGUAUGAUGUAUCAUCAGUAAUACAUCCAAUUCUAGAAUAUAAGACAUCAAAACAUGGAAUUAUGUAUACUAAUAUAAUAUGUAAAGACAAAAAUUAAAGAGAUGAUCAAGUAAUGGUAAGGUCCUGUGGAGCUGAUGUGUCUGUGAUGGCCUCUUGAGUGGGUUGGAUCAAAACUUUGGCCUCUAUUCUGGUAGUCUCCUUAGGUGGCAUAGUCUCCUCAACUAGAGCUCUCAGUUGGUAGCUAUGGGAUUUGAUGGUUUAAGGAGGUCAGUAAUGGAGUGAGAGGCUUGGUGUGUGUGAUCUCAAGGUGCUCGGGGCUCUCCUCUUCAGAUGCAUGGUCGCAGGGCUCUGUUGGCAUUUUAGCAACUUCCCUUGGCUUUGCAAAGUGUUUUUGCAAAUCACCCUCCAUUUCACAAGUCAAUUUCGCAAUUUGAAGGCCAUUUCUAAGCUUGGAGGUGAUUUCGCAACCAUUUCGAAGCUUGGAGAUCAUUUCGCAGAAAAGUGGCAUGUUCACAGACCAUUUUUGAAGCUUGGAGCUCAUUUCAUAGCCAUUUCGCAGCUCAAAAGUGAUUUCGCAGCCCAAAAUUGAUUUCGUAGUUCAUUUCGCAGCUUCAAAAUGAGGAGAACUGUGCUGCAAAAUGGCACUCGUGUGCCAAAGUUGGUUUCGCAGCUGCGAAACACCCUUCCAAAUGGUGUCUCGGCUGCGAAAUUCUCGCUCAGCUUUGUGCGCUUGUCUUCAAACGACCAUAACUUCUUCAUUUCACCUCCAAAUUGUGCACCGUUUGAAGCUCUGGACUUCUGACUUCCCAAGCUUUGAAACAAGAUAUUGUAUGCAUAAUUUGAGCUCCAGGAAGUGCUUCAAAAAUGUGUCCAACAGUAGCGAAAUGGAGGUGCGACAUUUCCGUUCAUGGUUUGCAUAGUCAUCUUCAAACAGCCAUAACUUUUCCGUUUCAAAUCCAAAUCUAGUACCGUUUGAAGCUAUGGACUCAUGACUUCCCAAGCUUUCAAAAGAGAUAUUGCACGCAUAAUUUGAACUUCGGUAAGUGAUCGAAAUGUUUCCAACAGUUGCCGAAAUGGGGGUGCGGCUGUGAAAUUGGGAUUUUUCACAUUUUGGAACUUCGCAGCCGUUUCGCAGCUGCGAAAUGAGAGUCACUGUGCUGCGAAAUGGCACUCAUGUGCCAAAACCAGCUUCGCAAUUGCGAAAUACCCUGCGGAAUGGGACUUUUGGUGCGAAAUCAGGCUUUACCACUUCGCAAUGCGUUUCGCAGCUGCGAAAUGGAUGCUCCUGUGCUGCGAAGUGGCACUCGUGUGCCAAAAUGGGUUUCGCAGCUGCGAAAAUUUUCGCAGAGACUUCUACAGUGUUGCGGAAUGGUUUGGCAACAAAAUGCCAAUUUCGCAGAGGCUGCGAAAUCUCGCAGACCCUUGUUUUUCCCCUGUUUUCGCUCCGUUUGACUCCAAUUUUGCUCCGAUUUUGCUCCGAUUUUUUUUCUUCAAUUUCUUUGCAAUUCCUCUUGAUUUUGAUCAUCCAAAAACCUAUAUUACAUCAAAACAAACUAGAAUUAAAGCAUUGAAAUCAAAAUUAAAGCAUUGAAAUCAAAAUUAAAACAAGAAAAAAAACAAAACAAAAAGAUAUGGACUAGCUAGUCUUUAAAAAGACUAAGUCCAUCAAAAAAUUUGCUCCUGAUUUAGCUUGCCCGGAUCCCAAAUGAAGUUUGCAUCCUUCAAUUGAGACUUGGUUUGUAUGAUUUUCCCAGACAAAGCUUGGAGAAAAGGUGGAGGCAUGUGUUUCUUCAUCAAUUCUUCCUUGAUGACUAUCCUCUGUGGUUCUCUCUGUACAUUAACAUCAUAGCCAUCUUUCUCUAUGCUUUUCCCCUUUUUCUUUCCUUUGAUUUCCUCCCUCUUUUCUUUCUCUGUUUCACUCUCUACCUUAUGCUCUAGCUUGCAUGUGGGCAAAUCAACCUCUUUACCACUCCUCAGAGUGAUCACUUCCUUGACUUCCCUCUUUUGUGAAGGUUCUCCCUCCUCAACCUCCAUUUCAUGGAUACUCAUGGAAUUUUGAUAAGGUUGAGAAGGAGAGUUUUCUUCCUCUUGCAUUGUGUUGAGGUUGGCAAGCCUUGAGAUUGAAUCUUGGAGAAUAUCUAACUUUUGGGCCAUAUCAUUUUGCAUUUCAUCCAUCCUUUUAUUCAAAGUACUCUCCAUACUGUCAAUUCUUUGAUUGAUUUGAGCAUUGAUGGCUUCUUGCUUUUCAAUAAAAUCUCCCACGACCUUGCAAAGAUUCACCAUAGUUUGUUCAAGGUUUGAGGCUUGCUGUGGUGCUUGAGCAGGUUGCUGAUACUGAGGUGGCUGUGGUUUCCAAGAGAAAUUUGGAUGGUCCCUCCAAUUGGAAUUGUAAGUGUUGCAAUCACCUAACAUUUCCCUCUCGGCUGGAAUGGUAGGACACUCUUCCACCAAGUGCUCAUAUGAUAGACAAAUGGCACAAGGCAUAGCUUGCAAUGGUGUCUGAGAGAUGGCUUGCACUUCUUGCAUCUGGUUCAUUUCUAGCUCAUCCAAUCUCCUUUCCAUAGCUGCAAUCUCUGCCUUCAUGUCUAUGCCAUCAUUCAAAAUAUACAUCUCACCCUUAGCAUUAGGUUGAGACGUCAUUCUUCCCAUAUCUCUAGCAUUUGGUUCAUCCCAUCCUCUUGAGACUUCAGCCACAUAACCCAUGAAGUUCAUGGCUUCCUCUGCUAUCUCGUAUUCAAUAUGGCAUGCACAACUAGCAACUUGUGAAUUAAAAACAGAGAACACAAAAGAAAACAAAAGAAAAACAAUUCAAAGAAAGAAAAUUAAGGUAAACUAAAAACUAAAUAAAAGGUAUACUAAAAUAUGAACAAUAAAGAAAUAAAAAGAGUUAGUAAAAGGAAAAGAAAAGUCACCAAACUUGUGAUGAAGAUCACAAGUACUCUAAAAGGGUGAUAUCACUGUAAAGUGGCACCAUCCCCGGCAACGGCGCCAUUUGAUUCGUCCCUAGCAGCGGCACUGGCAAUGGCACCAUCUGAUUCGGGGUUCGAUCCCCGGCAACGGCGCCAUUUGAUUCGUCCCUAGCAGCGGCAGUGGCAAUGGCACCAUCUGAUUCGGGGUUCGAUCCUCGGCAACGGCGCCAUUUGAUUCGUGCCCAAUUGGUGUCUCAACUGAUUUGUGUCCAGCUGGUGCUCCUUGAUUGAGGGAGUAAUCAACAAAAUUUAUAAUCUAUAACACCAUAUACUAGGGUAGCAAAGAAAAAGCUACUAUAGUAUAGUGGCUCUAGGAUCGUUCACUGGGAUGGGUUUUCACUUUACAAAUGAUAUCAAUUCAAAGCUGAAUUGGUGCCUUUUCAUUUCAAGGUUAGCUUUAAAAGAAAACAUAAAGAUGUUUGAAAGAAAAGAAUUUGGUUUUAAACUAACCAAAAGUAGUAACUGAUUUUACUUAUAAAGAAAGAUGUUUCUUGGAGUUCAGAUCACUAGGCUCAGAUUCCUCAUACAAAAAGGGAGUUCCGGUCACUUGUUUAUUUUCCUCGCAUUAGAGAAUUAACAUAUAGUUAAUUCUCUAACCGGUAUUGUACAGAUGCUUCCCAUUAAUGGGUUCAAACACUAAAUCCCUCUCACUGAUGCAACUUGCAAUGGUUCAUGCCNNNNNNNNNNNNNNNNNNNNNNNNNNNNNNNNNNNNNNNNNNNNNNNNNNNNNNNNNNNNNNNNNNNNNNNNNNNNNNNNNNNNNNNNNNNNNNNNNNNNUAUCUAGAAAUCUACUUCAAGUCACUCCAAAGCUCGCAAGGGGUAAACUAGUGCAUUUCCAUGGUUGGAAAUCACUUGCCUUACCAAGUGUUGGCCCAGGUGACUCUAAGGUGUUUUAAGUUAACUAAAAACAUAGAAAUCACUAACGGGUUACACUUUCUCUUCAUUAAAAACUAAAACAACAAAACUUCCCAAUUAUGCAUGUGGAAACUUACCCGGCUUUCCUCACUCCAAGAGACAAAAAGCUUAGCCUCUCAUCCUCUGUGGAAAAAUCCUCAGAGUUUGGUUGGCUAGAAAAUGAAAAUGAAAGAGAAGACAAGAAUAUAUAUCAAAAACAGAGCAAGUGCUCUGUUCGUUGAUUCUAUAUAUUGGAUUACAUAUAUGAU
rnacentral:lncRNA from 1 species